AGUUUGAUCCUGGCUCAGAACGAACGCUGGCKGCAGGCCUAACACAUGCAAGUCGAGCGAGAUCUUCGGAUCUAGCGGCGGACGGGUUAGUAACGCGUGGGAACGUACCCAAAGGUAGGGAAUAGCCACUGGAAACGGUGAGUAAUACCCUAUGUGCUUCGGGGGAAAGAUUUAUCGCCUUUGGAUCGGCCCGCGUUAGAUUAGAUAGUUGGUGGGGUAACGGCCUACCAAGUCUACGAUCUAUAGCUGGUUUUAGAGGAUGAUCAGCAACACUGGGACUGAGACACGGCCCAGACUCUACGGGAGGCAGCAGUGGGGAAUCUUGGACAAUGGGGGCAACCCUGAUCCAGCCAUGCCGCGUGAGUGAUGAAGGCCCUAGGGUCGUAAAGCUCUUUCGCCUGUGAAGAUAAUGACUGUAGCAGGUAAAGAAACCCCGGCUAACUCCGUGCCAGCAGCCGCGGUAAUACGGAGGGGGUUAGCGUUGUUCGGAAUUACUGGGCGUAAAGCGCGCGUAGGCGGACUGGAAAGUUGGGGGUGAAAUCCCAGGGCUCAACCCUGGAACUGCCUCCAAAACUAUCAGUCUAGAGUUCGAGAGAGGUGAGUGGAAUUCCGAGUGUAGAGGUGAAAUUCGUAGAUAUUCGGAGAACACCAGUGGMGAAGGCGGCUCACUGGUUCGAWAUGACGCUGAGGUG
rnacentral:rRNA from 1 species